rnacentral:rRNA from 1 species
UCCGCGCCAACAUCACCGGCCUGUUCUACUUCUCUUCGACGUCGCCGGUCGACGUUCCACCGGAGCGGCCUUCUCUCGCGGCUACCGGCACCUGCUGUGCCUUGGGAGAAGAAGCGGUCGUGAUCGCCGCAGUCCUCGCCACUUCCGGUCGUCGACGCCUGCGGCAUGCUGGUGCCGGGCCGUGUCCGUCGGUAGAGGCCGGUACAGUGCGGGUCGGGACGUUGUGGUGCAGUCGUCCCGUAGCUCAAGUUACCGCUACUAACAGAGUUCCAACCUCGACCUCAGGUUGAGACUCGAGGUCCCCUCGCUGGUCGAGCACCAGCACCACAGAUUAACGACGUCUACGACGUAACGUAAGAUAACACCCUCUUGUUCUUCCUUGACGUCUGGUUUAACCUUCUGUUGUCCAGAUAGGAGACUUAAAAAAAAUAAACAUGGUUUAGAAUUAUUAAACUCUACGCAUUUACAAUACAGAACCAAAUUUGCGGUCAACGUACAACUAUAUAUCGUCGCAACAAAUAAAAUAUGUAAACUAAAGAGAACAGUAAAGUUUAAAAGAUAUGACUCAGGUGGUAGAAGGGUCUCAGUCACUUUUGGAUGUCUCGAAACUAUUACAAGACACGGUUAAAAUAAAAUCUUAAUAUGAAGGAAAGUACAAACUACAAGCUACGAAUUAAUCGUAGAUGACGAGUACUAAACCUGGAUUAACGAGACAACAAAUGGUAGAGGAAGUAUAUAUACGCGUAGUGACAGGAGCGGACAAACAGGAAGGUGGAGUCAGGUCGGAACAUCCGAUGGUACCUCGUUCACCAACAAUACACUCAUGGUUUAAAGACCAACAAGUAGCUAACGACCAGAAUAAGUACAAAGACUCGAAGCGGGUAGUAGCGGUAGUUCUUUAACGUGACCAGUCAACUAGUAGCUCAAACCAAGCGGCAAAAUAGACGAGUCACACAACAGAGACGUCAGGUCACUCCUUCACUCACAACAGAAGUACUGAUUACCACUUCGUCACUGUAAUUUUCAAAGUGUCGGUAGACACUUUCGUAGUUACCGUUGGUGACGCACAAGUUGAUUUAGACGUUCAAAGUUGUCCGAAAUGUCCCGUACUGGAUGUUUGUACACGUGAGGGAAGAAGAAACGGCCUUAUUACAGUAUGAUGAAGUAGAAUGAACACCGGAUACAAUAUAGAUAACUACUGUCCAAGCGAUAUCUCUUCAUGGAGGUCUUCACGUAAUUGGAUCUUGUACUACGUAACGGUUAGUUCGAACGUCUGCCGUUCCAGAGACAGUACAGAGCGGUAGUGUCCCUUACUGUUGUCCUGGAAGAUAGUGUUGCUUGACCAGUCAAGGCAGUAGUGUUUGUAUGUACUCCACUGUGGACCCGGAAGAUGAAGUCUGCGUUCUGUUCCGCAUAGCAGUUGCUAGGGCGGAUAGCGAAUAUUUAUAUUAGGUACAUAUAGCACGAGAACAUAUAACUUGGAAGAUGGAGACAGGGAACGAAAUGAAGACUAGUAGAUCUGUAGUUGUACCAUGGACACAAGCAUACACAAGUAGUGGCACUAAUUAUAGGAGGGAAAGUGAGGAUG